UUUGUGUCUGUGACAGUGAGAGUCCUCUUUUAAGAUGCAAAACUCCUGAGAAGGAUAAUAUUUGGUUUUGAAGUAAGAAGAUGAGUUAGGAUCCAGCCUCCAUUCUUCAGAGUGUGGCCUGUAGCAUUACCUGGAUUUCCUCCGCACCACCAUCUCUGCAACCUGAGGACAGGGCUUCCGGAGAAUCUAGUACAAGGCCUGAUCCAUGGCAUUCACUGAGUGAAUAAAUGAGUGAGUGAAUGAAUG